AGUGAACGCUGGCGGUAGGCCUAACACAUGCAAGUCGAACGGCAGCACAGUAAGAGCUUGCUCUUACGGGUGGCGAGUGGCGGACGGGUGAGGAAUACAUCGGAAUCUACUUUUUCGUGGGGGAUAACGUAGGGAAACUUACGCUAAUACCGCAUACGACCUACGGGUGAAAGCAGGGGAUCUUCGGACCUUGCGCGAUUGAAUGAGCCGAUGUCGGAUUAGCUAGUUGGCGGGGUAAAGGCCCACCAAGGCGACGAUCCGUAGCUGGUCUGAGAGGAUGAUCAGCCACACUGGAACUGAGACACGGUCCAGACUCCUACGGGAGGCAGCAGUGGGGAAUAUUGAACAAUGGGCGCAGGCCUGAUCCAGCCAUACCGCGUGGGUGAAGAAGGCCUUCGGGUUGUAAAGCCCUUUUGUUGGGAAAGAAAAGCAGCAGGUUAAUACCCCGCUGUUCUGACGGUACCCAAAGAAUAAGCACCGGCUAACUUCGUG
rnacentral:rRNA from 1 species